rnacentral:rRNA from 1 species
AGCCCAAUGAAAUUAUAUUAGGUAAUACCUGCCCAAUGAUUAUCUUAUAUUAAAUGGCCGCGGUACUUUUGACCGUGCUAAGGUAGCAUAAUAAAUUGACUUUUAAUUGAAGCCUGGAAUGAAGGGGAAAACGGGAAUGAGCUGUCUCUAUAUUUAUAUUAUGAAUUUACUAAUUAGGUGAAAAGGCCUAAAAUUGAUAAAAGACGAGAAGACCCUUAGAGUUUUUAUAUUUAUAUUUUCGUUGGGGCGGCGUAGAGUCAGUUUAUAUAAAAAAUUUUUUUUAUUUUUAGAACACUCUUAGAUAAAAUAUUUCAGAUUUAACAAAAAAAGAUAAACUACCUAAGGGAUAACAGCAUAAUCUUAUUUAUAGGUUUGUGACCUCGAUGUUGGACUAGGGAAUUUUUAGAUUAGACGUUUAAAAAAAUAAUUCUGUUCGAAUUUUUAUACCCCU